GUAGGUGGCAAGCGUUGUCCGGAAUUAUUGGGCGUAAAGCGCGCGCAGGCGGUUCUUUAAGUCUGAUGUGGGAAGCCCACGGGCUCAACCGUGGAGGGUCAUUGGAAACUGGAGAACUUGAGUACAGAAGAGGAAAGCGGAAUUCCACGUGUAGCGGUGAAAUGCGUAGAGAUGUGGAGGAACACCAGUGGCGAAGGCGGCUUUCUGGUCUGUAACUGACGCUGAGGCGCGAAAGCGUGGGGAGCAAACAGGAUUAGAUACCCUGGUAGUCCACGCCGUAAACGAUGAGUGCUAAGUGUUAGGGGGUUUCCGCCCCUUAGUGCUGCAGCUAACGCAUUAAGCACUCCGCCUGGGGAGUACGGCCGCAAAGGCUG
rnacentral:rRNA from 1 species